AUACGGAGGGGGCAAGCGUUGUUCGGAAUUACUGGGCGUAAAGGGCGCGUAGGCGGAUAUUCUAGUCAGGGGUGAAAGGCCUGGGCUCAACCCGGGAACUGCCUUUGAAACUGGAUAUCUAGAGACCGGAAGAGGAUAGCGGAAUUCCCAGUGUAGAGGUGAAAUUCGUAGAUAUUGGGAAGAACACCAGUGGCGAAGGCGGCUAUCUGGUCCGGAUCUGACGCUGAGGCGCGAAAGCGUGGGGAGCAAACAGGAUUAGAAACCCCAGUAGUCC
rnacentral:rRNA from 1 species